rnacentral:misc_RNA from 1 species
AAGUCGUAACAAGGUUUCCGUAGGUGAACCUGCGGAAGGAUCAUUACAAAUUAUAGCGAACCUCGCGUUUCGCGAGGUCUUGCGUCCAUUUUAUAUUUAAAACAUCCCACUCUUUAAAAAUAUUUAUUAUCUAAUGAUAAAAAUAAAAAAGAUCACUUUCAACAACGGAUCUCUUGGCUCUC